UUUGCUUCACUUGUGGAGGAGAGCAGAGCUGGACGCUUCUUCGACAGCACGGUGGCCUGAAAGACACGGUAACGCAAGCGCUUGACUUUUAAAUAUUCAACCUUCCAAGUGCCUGGCUCAGCACCCCGAUAUUUGGUCGACAUGUCAAAGACCUGCCAUAGCCUCGUGAAGCCAGGGCCCAAAACUCCACAGGAUGGCAGCCAUUUUAUGGGUCGUUCUGUCGACGUGAGCCUGUGGAGACAGAAAUUACAAUCGACACAUUUGGGAUUUAGUCUGUCGUGCGGCGGUUUCUUAAAACGUGGCAGUUCUACCGUGUUGCAGUCAAUUCGGCCAUUCUGUAGCAGAUGCAAAGCCUGUGGAAAGAAAAAGAGACAAAUUAGAUGGGCUUGCGCCAAACGGUUCAGGACU